ensembl:snoRNA Snord1a small nucleolar RNA, C/D box 1A
AUAAGCCUAUGAUGGAUGCUAGUUAUCCCUGUCUGAAAAUUUCAGCUGAGGGAAAAUACUAUGUUCUGAGGCUUAG